GGAGCAGCUUCCAUCUAGAAAGGUGCAGAUGCUGUGUCAGAGGGAGGAAUGGACGUGGCAGAUGUGCUGGCUGCAAAGAGCUCUGCCCGCAGCAGCAGCACGCAUCCCUUCUGCUCACUUUCUAUUGGCCAAAGCAAGUCACACAGCCACGCCCAGCUCGGGGGGCGGGCAGGGAAAUCCACUCCUCCACUAGACCUGGAAGGACAGAGCGCCCAUGGCUAUGGAUAGCUCCCACGGCUAUGGAUAGCUCCCACGACUCCCCACAGACAAAGAUUUCUGCCUGGUGGAGCUUAUUCCAGUCUCUGAAGGGGAACACAGACAAUAAGUAAUAGACACGAUAGGAGGAGCAGUGUCAACAGUCCUAGCCAGCUGUUGCUGAAGGGCCCAACACCAAAUCCCAGCUGAAGAACAGCUUCUCAUCUUUUGAGACACAGCACAGGGUGAUGGGCAUGGAGCUCUUCCACACUCCCCACAGUCUGACUUAGCUCUCUCCGUUGUGCCCUCCUGGCACCCUGCUCGUAUUUUAUUGUGGCACCUAUAUCGCUGGAUCUCACUCACUGGUUUGCACUCCUGUAUCCCCUUUGAGGGAACAAAUCCCAUGCCUCUGCAAUCCCAGGAUCUGAUACUGAGAUAGACACUAAACAGAUAUUUAAAAAUUUUUGAUAAUCAAUGAAUGGACAAGGAGAAUAAAUAAUAUGAAAGAUGAAAUAAAGAAAUAAAAGUAUUAAUGAGAGUAUAAACAUAUCCAGAUUGGGCUGGGUGCGAUGGCUCAUGCCUAUAAUCCCAGCACUUUGGGAGGCUGAGGUGGGAGGAUCACUUGAGGUCAAGAGUUCGAGAGCAGCCUGGCCAACAUGGCGAAACCCUGUCUCUGCUAGAGAUACAAAAAUUAGCUGGGUGUGGUGGUGUGUGCUUGUAAUCCCAGCUACUUGGGAGGCUGAGGCAGGAGAAUCACUUGAACCUGGGAGGCGGAAGCUGCAGUGAGCUGAAAUUGCACCAGCCUGGGUGACACAGUGAGACUCUGUCUCAAAACAAAACAAAACAACAACAACAAAAAAAAAAAAAAAAGAAAGAAAGAAAAAAAGAAAUCCAGAUAGACUAUUAUGUCUUACUGUUCUUUUUCAUUCAUACCAAAUGGGAAAGAAUUUCCUGUCAAUGCUGGCAGUCUCUGGCUAUCAUGUGGCAGCAUCCGGGAAGGACCUUUGAGGCCACGCUCUUUCCCUCAGGGGACAGUGAGGUGCGUUGUCCAUGGCACCGAUGGGUUUUUCUCUGGGUAGCAGGAGGUUCCACAAUUCCCCAGCCCCAUUUCCUUUUAAGUCAUUCUGGUUAUCAUUUCAGUUGAAAGAAUUGGAGCUACUUUUCACUUGGGAGAACAUAAUAAAAAUCACUUAUUCAGUACUAAAUUAGGAUGGACAGCCUUUCUCUUGGGAAGAAAAGCAAUAACAGAUCACAAUAAUGAGAUUGUGCAACAAGCUUUGAAAAUGCUUAUACUACAUUUAUAUGAAACAGUAUUUGCUUACACUUCAGAUAUGGCUGUCGAUUUAUGGUUCAGAGCCAUGGAGCAGGUAAUAAAUAUGACUGUGACAACUUUCUGAAAUCAUUUUUAUUACUUUUUAAAAAUAAAAAUACUAUUUGCUGUUCAAUUCCUAUUAAACUAUAGCUU
rnacentral:lncRNA from 1 species